GGGAAGAAACAUGGGGAGUACACACUGGAGAGAGGUGACUUUCUGUCUGAAGAAUGGAAGGAAAGAAUCGCCACCACAAGUAUUAUUUUUGUGAAUAACUUUGCCUUUGGUCCAGAAGUAGAUCACCAGCUGAAGGAGCGCUUUGCUAACAUGAAGGAAGGUGGAAAAAUUGUGUCCC